rnacentral:lncRNA from 1 species
AUGCAAAACAAAGAGAUAAUGUUCUGUUCUAAUUGUGUAGUGGGGCUGACUGGGGGACAGAUGUUACCUUUCUGUUAUGUUGGGGGCAGAGGGAGGGUGGGGCUGACUGGGGGACAGAUGUUACCUUUCUGUUAUGUUGGGGGCAGAGGGAGGGUGGGGCUGACUGGGGGACAGAUGUUACCUUUCUGUUAUGUUGGGGGCAGAGGGAGGGUGGGGCUGACUGGGGGACAGAUGUUACCUUUCUGUUAUGUUGGGGGCAGAGGGAGAGUGGGGCUGACUGGGGGACAGAUGUUACCUUUCUGUUAUGUUGGGGGCAGAGGGAGGGUGGGGCUGACUGGGGGACAGAUGUUACCUUUCUGUUAUGUUGGGGGCAGAGGGAGAGUGGGGCUGACUGGGGGACAGAUGUUACCUUUCUGUUAUGUUGGGGGCAGAGUGAGGGUGGGGCUGACUGGGGGACAGAUGUUACCUUUCUGUUAUGUUGGGGGCAGAGGGAGGGUGGGGCUGACUGGGGGACAGAUGUUACCUUUCUGUUAUGUUGGGGACAGAGGGAGAGUGGGGCUGACUGGGGGACAGAUGUUACCUUUCUGUUAUGUUGGGGACAGAGGGAGGGUGGGGCUGACUGGGGGACAGGUGUUACCUUUCUGUUAUGUUGGGGGCAGAGGGAGGGUGGGGCUGACUGGGGGACAGAUGUUACCUUUCUGUUAUGUUGGGGACAGAGGGAGGGUGGGGCUGACUGGGGGACAGAUGUUACCUUUCUGUUAUGUUGGGGACAGAGGGAGGGUGGGGCUGACUGGGGGACAGAUGUUACCUUUCUGUUAUGUUGGGGGCAGAGGGAGGGUGGGGCUGACUGGGGGACAGAUGUUACCUUUCUGUUAUGUUGGGGACAGAGGGAGGGUGGGGCUGACUGGGGGACAGAUGUUACCUUUCUGUUAUGUUGGGGGCAGAGGGAGGGUGGGGCUGACUGGGGGACAGAUGUUACCUUUCUGUUAUGUUGGGGGCAGAGUGAGGGUGGGGCUGACUGGGGGACAGAUGUUACCUUUCUGUUAUGUUGGGGGCAGAGGGAGGGUGGGGCUGACUGGGGGACAGAUGUUACCUUUCUGUUAUGUUGGGGGCAGAGGGAGGGUGGGGCUGACUGGGUGA